GAUAACGGGAAACUUGACAAACUCAACUAUACUACGACAAACUUUGACACCAACUAACAAAAUCAAUACUACUGAACAUGACUAUAAAGUACAAAACAACAUAAAAAAAUAGAAUCAAAACAUAAAAAACUCCUUUAUCCAGCUUCUGAAUGUAGUGAUCCUGACUGGAUGGUCCUAGUGUGUCUGUCAUGGUCAAACUCCGGUAAGUAGAUCCAUACCUGUAUAAGAAAACUAAAACCAAAUAGAGUUAAAGAUUUAGAACACUAUGUGAGACAAUAACACUCCCUAUUGGACACGUGCAAGACAUGAUUGAGGAUAUUUUUGCAUAGCGGCUUAUGUGGCCAAAAGGUGGCUAGAAGUGCAAACUCGACAAAGGUGACCUCUAAGACAUGGAAAAAUUACUUUUGUAGAAAUGACUCAUUUUAUAGAAGUGGUCAAUGUGGACGAAAAAAUGGCUAAUUCAACACAAUUGACCUUAAACAGAGAGAACAUCUUGUUGUGGACUUAGAACUUUAAGUCAUGGGUCACUGAACCACUUUUUAUGAAAAUGACCCAAUUUUGCAAGAACGACCGAUGUGGCCAAAAGCGGCUAGACAUGUAAAUUCGACAAGGAUGGGCCUUAAAGUAAAGAGGCACCUAAUUGCGGAUUCAAGACUCUUCAGACAAUUAAACAAACCACUUUGCAAAAAUAGCCAUAUUUUGCAAAACGACCGAUAUGGCCAAAAGUGGCUAGAGAUGCAAGAUUUGGCUACGACCCUCGAAGCCAAGAACCUAAGACUCACUAAGAAGACUGGACCCUAUGUAGGUUGCCUAUGUAUCCCGCCCUGAAAGAUGAGAAUCAGGUAUGCGUAGUUCGGGCAGAUUGGAUACGGACGAAAAUUAAAACAAUAACUAAUUUAGAGAAAAUAUUUUUUUUGUCUUUUUUUUUAAAAAAUAAUGGGGAAGUGCAUAAUCUUUUUGGAUUUUUCAAUUUUUUUGUCUUUUUCUUAAAGAAAAUGUGAAAGAAAAACAUAAAUGGGCCCUACUUGCUUUAUUUUCACACUUCACCCUCUUUUCUUUCUCAUUUACCCUCAACCAUCAUUGGUCCGCCAAAUGACCAUUUUACCCUUAAAGAAAUGCAAUAUGUAGCACAUAGGAUGCAUCAGGAUGGUCUUUUAUUUUUGGGGUACAUCUGUCCUAGACGGACCCAACCCAUUUGUUGAGUCCCCUAAGACAAAUGCACAAGAUGCAAAUAAACGUUCCUACUAGGGAUCCAACAUGAGCUUAUGUUAUUCUAGGUUUAAACCAGGGGUUGUGUUCUAGACCUGGUUUACCCAAGUGGACAGCUCAAGCCGAGAUGGGGGUAACGUACCGGGAGCACGAAAGUCUACCCGGCCUUGUUGCUGGCCCAGCCUCGCUCUAUUUGGUAUAACUUCCAACAGAAAAGUGGGUCACGCGAACGUGUGCGCCAUCUUUUAGAAGACUUAGAUGGGAGGCAUAAGAAUACAGUUUAAUAUAAUUCAAAUAAUAUCAAAGCGGUAAAUAAAUAGCCGUUAGCACAUUAGGUCCACAAAUACGGUAAUAUGAAUAAUAGAUAAAGCCAAGUAAAAAUCACAACACAAGCUCGAAUUCUUGAACCCUAAACCAGAGAUUUUGGGUUCGUUCCCCAGUAGAGUCGCCAGAGCUGCCACACCUCCUUUUUCUACCCCGAAAGAGGCAUAAGGGAGUUUUUUCGAUUAAAGUGACAAUUGAAACGGGACUAUUAUAUUAAAUUCAAAGUCGCCACUUGGGAUAAUUUAUGGUGUCCCAAGUCACCGAUUUAUUUUAAAUCACAAGUCGAGGAAAUUUGACUCUUAUUUAUGGUCUGCGAACACAGAAGACUAGGUAAGAAGUUAUGUUAACCUGGGAGAAAGUGUUAGGCAUUCUCGGGUUUCGUGGUUUUAGCACGGUCACUUUAAUCAUACCUGGCUCAAUUAAAUUGUCUAAUUACUUAUUUUAAACCCAUGUGCAUUUUAACCCUUUAACCAUUUUUUUGCUUAGCUAUUCAUUAUUAUGGAGUAAUUUUAAAACGAAUCACGCGUACGUGUACUCAUUUCAUUUGGCUCGUAAAAAAAAUCAUGUCAUGCAUACAUGUCCACAAUUAAUCACGCUUUAUUAUUAUUAAGAAUGUUUGGCCGAAGUUGUACGAAUGCAUACCUCGGUUUAUUUUGAAAAUCGUAAUUAUGGCACGGGAACGUGUACGCAAUCACGAUAGUUUUAUUGACUAAAAGUGUGUCUGAAGCUACUAACGUGUUUAUGAAUAUUAUAAAAUUAUUUUUCGAACUAAUAAAAGAGGGUAACUAUAUGAUAUUAACGGACCUAGCAUACUCCUAGCGGUUCAAUUAAUUAAAAGAGCAAUAAAAAUAUUCCAAUUCACUUUUAACUUUCAAUCCAAUCCCAUGGCCAAAUACUUUCCAAUAUCAGUUUCUUCCAAAAUGAACACUUGAUUAAGUGUGAAUUUAACGACAAUAGACAUUUUGUGUAGAACAUUCAAAUUAACCGCUUAAUAAAUAAUCAUAGCAGGCAACUAAAAUUCAUCCUAGCCAAUGCCUUUAUUUGCAACCAUAUCCAAAUGUUUGCGUGAGUAAAAUAAAAUAGGUUUUAAGUUUCGCCUGUUUCUAAAGAUAUUUCUAGUAUUCAAUCCUACGUUUGCUUAACGUCCACUAAACCAAAAGUUGCUAAUAAAAGUGAAUUUCAGUGAACCAUACACAGAAUUUACACACACAUCAUGUUUGUCUGCAUAUAUAUAAAAGCAGAGGUACAUCAAAUAAGAAGUAGAAUGAAAUGAGAAAUCAACCAUCCUCAAAUCAAAACAAUAAAACUUUAAUCCAAACACUUCACAAAACAGAGAACAACAGAUUAAUGGAAGCACACUAUUAAGCAAAAUAGAGUAUAAGAAAAUGAGGAACAAACUCAAAAUGAAUUAGAAUAUUACUUGUGAGGUAUCUUUGAACUCAGAAAUGCGACGAACCGCAGACGGGAAUUCAAAUCGGCAUCAGAAAGCUCGAAGCCAAAGCGACCUCAAUCAAACUUGUCAGAGAAGUCGCACAAUUUUGGAGCAACGAAAUGGGGCUUAGACAGCGUCGGAUAUACUCCUUUUUUCCUGGAUUCAAACCCAGCCUUCAGUAGAAGAAAACAAAGAAUAGAAGGCACGUGUUCUUGCUUUUAAAUUGAAAAAGAAAAACGAAGCAACCGUUCUUUUAGCCGAAGAAGAUGAAGACGUGAGGACUCGUUGUUUUUGGGAGUUGCGGCUUCAUGGUUUACGUGACAGCAUUUUCAUGGUGAUUCCCGUCGUCAAGGAACUGGUGUGCUAUGGUGGUGAAGCUGUUGGUCUCUAGGUUGAAAAAGAUGAAGAAGCUAAGGGUGUGGAGAAGAUGAUGAAAAACGGCUGGUGCUUCUAUUGUGUAUUCACGAUUGAUUUUUGUGUUGUCCUCUAGGGUUGGGUCUUGUGUCUAUUAAAGGUGAGGAAGAGAGUUUUUUUUAGGGUAUUGGGUUUAAUGGGUAUUGGGUAUUGGGCUUGGAUUUAUGGGCUAAGUUUGAAUUGGGUCCUAAAAUUGGGCUCUAAGACUUUUAAAAUUGUAGUCCAAAACCUUAGUUUACUCCCUUUAAUAAAGAUUAAAAUACUACACAAUGCAAAAACUAAUUCUAAUUAAUUAAAUUAAACUAUAUUAAAACGCGAAACUAUUUUUUUAUUU
rnacentral:lncRNA from 1 species